AUUGAACGCUAGCGGCAUGCCUUACACAUGCAAGUCGAACGGCGUGGCGGACGGGUGAGUAAUGUCUAGGAAUGUGCCCCUUAGUGGGGGAUAACGACCCGAAAGCGUCGCUAAUACCGCAUACUAUUGGAUUGGCCUAUUUCGGAUUAGCUAGUUGUUGGGGUAAAGGCUCACCAAGGCGACGAUCCGUAGCUGGUUUGAGAGGAUGACCAGCCACACUGGGACUGAGACACGGCCCAGACUCCUACGGGAGGCAGCAGUGGGGAAUAUUGGACAAUGGGGGCAAGCCUGAUCCAGCCAUGCCGCGUGUGCGAUGAAGGCCUUCGGGUUGUAAAGCACUUUAAGCAGGGAAGCGGUACCAGCAGAAUAAGCACCGGCUAACUACGUGCCAGCAGCCGCGGUAAUAC
rnacentral:rRNA from 1 species